rnacentral:piRNA from 1 species
UGGGACUUAUCUCUGGACCUGCCUCUCAG